GAUGAACGCUGGCGGCAGGCCUAAUACAUGCAAGUCGAGCGGAUAAAGGGAGCUUGCUCCUCGAUUCAGCGGCGGACGGGUGGGUAAUGCCUACGAAGCUACCUGGUCGAGGGGGAUAACGUAAGGACACGGGCGCUAAUACCGCAUACGUCCUGAGGGUGAACGUGGGGGUUCUUCGGACCACACGCUAUCAGCUGAGCCUAGGUCGGAUUAGCUAGUUGGUGGGGUAAAGGCCUACCAAGGCGACGAUCCGUAACUGGUCUGAGAGGAUGAUCAGUCACACUGGAACUGAGACACGGUCCAGACUCCUACGGGAGGCAGCAGUAGGGAAUAUUCGACAAAGGGCGAAAGCCUGACCGAGCAACGCCGCGUGUGUGAUGAAGGUCUUCGGAUCGUAAAGCACUGUUAGUUGGGAGGAACGGCAGUAAGUGAAACUAUUGACGUCUUGACGUUACCAACAGAGUAAGCCCCGGCUAACUACGUG
rnacentral:rRNA from 1 species